UACGUAGGGCGCAAGCGUUAUCCGGAAUUAUUGGGCGUAAAGAGCUCGUAGGCGGUUUGUCGCGUCGGGAGUGAAAUCCACUGGCUUAACUGGUGGCUUGCUUUCGAUACGGGCAGACUGGAGGCAUGCAGGGGAGAACGGAAUUCCUGGUGUAGCGGUGAAAUGCGCAGAUAUCAGGAGGAACACCAGUGGCGAAGGCGGCUCACUGGCCCGGUACUGACGCUGAGGUGCGAAAGCGUGGGGAGCAAACAGG
rnacentral:rRNA from 1 species